rnacentral:lncRNA from 1 species
AGACGUGAAGACAGAAGAGAGGUUCUUGUGCAUACGUUUGAACAGGGAAAAGAUUGAAAUCAAAUGCCCGGAGGUUCCAAGGAAGAGUAAAAAUAGAAGCCAGAGUGGCAGAGGGAACCAUUAUGCAGUGUGUGGCCCUCAUUCACGAUGCUUACAGUAGCUGAUUUAUUAGAAGACAGAAAAGAAAAUUGAUUUAUAAAUGGUCUUGGGAAGGGGAAACGGAUGGAAUAAAUGAGCUGAGACUAGGAUAUGAGCUACACUAAGGGCUCCAUGUGCCUUCUCAAAAGAAUAAAAGAAUCAAGACACAGUCUCACUAUUUGGGAGGUGUUGAAGGAGAUGCAUACAGCUGGCAAGGCCAAGGGAAGAUGCUGCGCUAUCUCCUACCAGUCCACUCCAACCAGGAGCCAGGCUGGAGCUGAAAACCGCAAAGGGCAAGGUCAUCAUAGCUGCAAAGGUCACAGAUGUCAGCCCAAACUGAUACAGAAGGCAGUCAUCACAACUUCUACCACCGCUCUGACCAAACAAGCCUCCCAGGUGCUGGGAUCUACCAGAGGAAAGGAGAAGAGAGCCUGAGAUGGAAUUUUGAACUGGACUCCAGUGAGUUAAUUAUCCUGAACCCACUGAUCAAUCUCAAGAGUGGGCUGAAUAUUCUGAGAAUGGCUGCCUGAAGAUGUCUGCCAGAGGGUGGCUAGAGGGUCAGAGACAGAAAUUCAGGGCUAUUUUAGAAAUAAACACAAGUCUACUUAUUUUUGUCCAUGUCUAGGCCUAUUGAAAUAUUUUACCCCUUACAUAAGAUUCCCUUACUCCCACUAAACCUCACCUUUAGUCUAACCAGGACCUCUGGCAUUUGACGCUUGACUGUCUCAACUUUCAGCCUCUCUUCUCAUUUCCCACCCUGACCUCUAGACACUAUGGUGUGCCAUGAGAUCUGUUUCCCUGACAAUGCAUUCAAUUCUC